UGGGGAAUCUUGCACAAUGGGGGAAACCCUGAUGCAGCGACGCCGCGUGAGUGAUGAAGCCCUUCGGGGUGUAAAGCUCUUUCGACAGGAACGAUAAUGACGGUACCUGGAGAAGAAGCUGCGGCUAACUACGUGCCAGCAGCCGCGGUAAUACGUAGGCAGCAAACGUUGUUCGGAGUUACUGGGCGUAAAGAGUGCGUAGGCGGUUUGCCAAGUCUGGUGUGAAAUCUCCUGGCUUAACUGGGAGGGUGCGCCGGAUACUGGCAGGCUUGAGUGUGGGAGAGGAAAGCAGAAUUCCUGGUGUAGCGGUGAAAUGCGUAGAUAUCAGGAGGAAUACCUGUGGUGAAGACGGCUUUCUGGACCACAACUGACGCUGGGGCACGAAAGCGUGGGGAGCAAACAGGAUUAGAUACCCCAGUAGUCCCUGAGCGGGCUGGCAAGGCGCAU
rnacentral:rRNA from 1 species